UGAAAUGUUCUGGAACCUCGGUCUUUUAAA
rnacentral:piRNA from 1 species